CUAUUUGUAACUUAUUAUUAAUGGUAAUUACAAACAAUUAUCAUGAGUCGUUACAAGGCAUUGGGUUAAGUGCUAUAUACCUAUAAACUCUUUUAACCUUCAUGAUAACCUUAUGAAUUAGGCACUGUCAGAAUUCCCAGUGUACAGAUGGCUCAAAGAGAUUAAGUAACUUGUCCAAAAUCACAGUAAGUGGUGAAGCCAGUAUCUGGUCUACUGAGUAGAGUAUGCCGUCUGCACGUGUGCCGUUGAUUUGUUGAACUGAUGAUGUAACUUUCUUUGGGAAGGUUACAGUACCUGUGUCUCUAGUCCCAUAGAUGAUGCCCUAACCAUUAUGUUUCACUGCCUCUUGUACUCUGUGCCUAACUCUAUUCCUAGUACUUUUAAGUUAAAUGACACAAAUAAUGUGGUAGAAUUUCAUGAACUAAAAUAGUCAUUCAACCAUUUUUCAUUUAUUCUGUACCUGCUAGCACCUAGGUCCGUACUUAGGCUAAAUAUAGUGAUUCUGACGUCAUUGGGAUUGGAGAGACAGACCAGAGGCCAAGAUUUGAGCACCCAGGCAUUCCUGGUCAGAUUUCACCAUGAAUCCAGCUCCAUAUGCCAUCCCCACACCAUACCCCACGCCCCACACACACCUCACUUCCACCCAGGGCUUUCACAGUCCCACGUGACACGAGCUUCCCUGCAUGUCGCACCUGUUGAUUUCACUGCCUGGAGUGCACUUCCCCAGCCUCUCAGCCCCUCCAUUUCACUUCUCAAACUCCAGCCUGGGCACCACCUCUCCUGCAAAGCCUUUUCCAACCACUCCAGCGAAGGCGGCUCCCCACUCCUUCCUUUGUGCUCUGGGGCCCUUCUUCCUUGGUGGCUGCUGCUGCGUGUGGUGCCCACCACGUACCAUCAUUGCCCCCCACAGGCCAGUCCACAGGGCCUAGAGAACAGAGCUGGGUCUCAUGCUGCUGUGCAUUCUCUGGACACGGCCCAGUGCCUCCAGAGUAUGCAGUCUGCACCUGUGCCGUUGAUUUGUUGAACUGAUGAUGUAACCUUCUUCGGGAAGUCACUUCCCCAAACCUGCAAGACUCUUCCAUCAAGGACCACCUGUGAAAAACACGUUAGGAGACUGAAAAGUGAUUUCUUUUGUUUGUUUGUUUGUUUGGGGGUUUUUUUUUGGCAAGGGGGAGUGGGGGCAGUUCUGGUCAUCUCAAAGUCAUUGGUGACCUUAAGAAAAUAAUAUUGAAAUGAGAUGUGAAAGGCCUAGAAGAUGAAAAAAAAAAUGACAAGGCAACUCCACGGAGAAAUCUGACUAUGAAGGGCAGCAAUGAAUAGGCCAAUAGGUGAGGGAUGUAAGGCUGAAGGAGGGUUUUCGUUUCUUGUUUAUGCAGUUUUUGCUACUGUUUAGAGGACUGAGACCUUUGCCUGUUUAAGGGCUGAAGGGAAUGGGUAGAGAGGAAGAAAAGGCAAAAGGAAUCACUGAUAGCUUAAGGUUUUGGAGAUUUAGCAAUGGCCUCCCUUCAUAAUGAAAUUGCUUAAAUGAGUUGUCUAUAACUGUCUUGUUUCUCUCUUCACCUAAUUCCUUCUCAUUUCACUUCAAUAUGGCUUUUAUUAAGGUCACCAAUGACUCCCAUAUUGCUGGGAACACAAAACCACUUCUCAGUACUUUAAUGUCCAGAGCAGGAUGGGAGAUCAGUGUGUUUCAGAAGAGGAGUGGCCACUCCACCGUAACGAGAAGAGAGAAGAGGAAAACCAGGACAGAUGCAGCUUGUGUUCCAGAUUUGCUGGCCGGAAGAGUCCCAGACAGAGAAGUUAAAUGAUGUCUCCAAGGACAAACAGCUGCAGAAUUACAGAGCUCAGCUUUUAAGACAGACUUCCAUCAGUCAGUUCCCUGGGAGCACUAGUUCAGCUCUGCUCAGUUAAACAUGCAUUGUAGAAACCACUGAGCGCUGGACACUGUGCUGGGCUUUGAGGUUACGCAGAUGCCAAGGAGACUGUCCUCUGGUGGGCAUUUGUCUGGUGGUGAGUCACAGUCAGCCAACGAUGUCUCCAGAUUGUGGGAUGCACAGGGUUCCCCCAGAAGAGGCUGCCUAAACAGAGUCGCAAAAAUGGGAGUUAGUUGAACAAAGGCAGACUAAAUAAAACAAGGCAUUUAUCUGUACAAUCUGGGAGUGAAAUAUAAACAUUGCCCAAGCCAAAGUUUCCAGAUUUUCUUUGGCAGAGACACUAAAGCCUAACGUGUGAAACGGAUAAAAUGUGCAGCUUCCCUAGGGGAGGUAAGAGGCAGAAACCUCUGUCUUCCCCCUUCUGCCUCCUUCUCUGCAUUGACAAAGGACAAGGUUGCCCUCGGGGUCCUGCGAGGGUAGAGGGGACUGACCAGAGGGGGGCACAGGGACGUCUGUGUGGCUAGCAAUGACAUGUUUCACUGUCAGGGAGCUGGUUACACAGGUGGUUCAAGUUUAUAAAAUUCACCAAGCUGAACCUUGUGGGCAUUACGCUAAGUGAAAUUUGUCCAUCGCAGCAGGACCGAAUUUGUAUAAUUCUAUUACAUGAGGUGUCCCGAGUAGUCAAAUCCAUAGAGACAGAAGGCACAAUGGGGAUUGCCAGGGCCUGGGCCACGGGGCAAGGGAGUGGGGAAACCGUGUUUAAUGGGAAUGAAGCUUCAGCCUGGGAAAAUGAAAAUGUUCUGAGAUGGAUGGUGGUGGUUGCACAGCAAUGUGAAUGUACUUGAUACCACUGAACUGUGCCCCCAAAAUGAUUAAAAUAAUAAAUUUUGUGUUAUGUAUAAUUUAUCACAAUUAAAAAAAUUAACCUGCGUA